GCGACUUGCGCUGGUGCUCUUUUGUUGGCUGCUCUGCUUGAGUUUAGUUCAUAUCCAUGGAACACCGGCAUAUUCACUAUCAAGAGCACCACUGCCACCACCACCGCCCAGACCAAUAGCCAGACCACCGCCUCCAAGGCCAAAACCACCAUUGCCAAGGCUAACGAUACGGCAUUCAGACCAACAUCACCGCGAUUUGUUAGACCUCCUAAUGCACCACCCAUCAGGAGACCAACUAUUCCACCACCCAGGCCCACCAGAAGACGUCCCAUAACAAGGCAACCAACCAGGAGAAUCCCAAAACCACCACUGACCCGAAGACCCACCGCCAGGCCCACUAGGCCACCUGCAGUGCGAACCACUAGAAAAUUUCUGAUCUGGUCAAGGGCACCCACCAAAUUACUACCGACUAGGCCAAAUAUAAGGCCCACACUAUGGACCAGGCCGCCAGUGCGUCCUCCAUUGCCAACGGUGCGUCCAACGCGCUCAAGAGUGGGUCCCACUCUAUGGACAAGACCUCCCAUUAGAGUAACAGUACGACCCACGCCUAGACACCCAAUCAGACCCACUAUUAGGCCUACAAUUCGAGCCACUCUAUGGACGCGACCUCCGGUAAGACCUUCAAACCCCACCAGGUCUCCAGUUAGAGCCACAAAAUCCACUUUAUGGACCCGACCUCAAGUAAGAACUACUCGACGACUGACAUUCAUUUUCAACGAACCCACAAGAGAGCCUCCCACAUCAAGACCAAUUCCCAUCACUAGAGCUCCAAAUCCGGACAUAACUCGAUCCACAAGACGUUUGAUUUUUAUAUUUCCCAGGGACACCACCUCUAUAUAGCUCGACGUCCUAAUUGGACUGUACGUCCAACAGGACGUACGAGAACUACUUUAAUAGCUUAAUGCCUAUAAGUAAGCUGAAAUAAUAUAUAGUAGCUGAAUACAUAUAGAAUCUUUAAGAAUUCACUGCAAGCACGCGAUGUUAUAUUUUAUAUAAGAGAGAGAAAAGUCUAAGCUAAUAACCUUAAAUAUCAAGUCAAGGCACAGAUGGAUAGGCUAAUUAAAUAUUUUGAGUAGCUGAAUUGCAGGCUUUGGAAUAUCCUAUCUUUAUAAAAAUAAGGCUUUUCUAUCAAAACGGAGUCUGUAAGUUCAAAAUACAAUUUUUCAAUUGUAAAUUGUAAAUGAACAUACGAAUCAAAGAUUUAUGAAUGUUUCUAUAGUUAAGUUAAUUGCAUAUAUAGUUUAAAGUUGGAUAAGGCGAACGGGAAGACUGCCUAUUUACUUUCUAGCUGUGAUUUAAACCCAAUCUAAUACAGGACUUUAAGCACAACAAGUUUGGCGGACUCUGUUCGUAACGACCCCAUCUCCAUGACAAAUAUCCCUGAAGUGCCGACAUGCCCGGCAAAAGUCCAGGGAAACUGGAGCGAGGAGAAAAGUAGCUGUGGCAUACCGGAAGCGCUUCAAGUUUGCCGAGCUCAUUCGUCUCUGCGAUUUGUUGGCAUUUCAACGGACUGACGUGCUGGUUGCCCGUGGGCGGCACGAGGGGGCGUGGCAGGCGGGUGGGCGGUUGGCGGUGGGCGUGGUGCAGUGCCUGCUCAUGCAAUGAUAAAUGAAGUUUUAGUGGCUUUUGACCCAUUUAAUAAAUUGUUAAAGUUGAAGAAUGCGC
rnacentral:lncRNA from 1 species